UACAGAGGGUGCAAGCGUUGUUCGGAAUCACUGGGCGUAAAGCGCGUGUAGGCGGUCGAGCAAGUCAGAUGUGAAAGCCCAUGGCUUAACCAUGGAAGGGCAUUUGAAACUGCUUGACUUGAGUACGGGAGGGGGAGGCGGAAUUCCCGGUGUAGAGGUGAAAUUCGUAGAUAUCGGGAAGAACACCGGUGGCGAAGGCGGCCUCCUGGACCGUUACUGACGCUGAGACGCGAAAGCGUGGGGAGCAAACAGG
rnacentral:rRNA from 1 species